rnacentral:rRNA from 1 species
GAUGAACGCUGGCGGCGUGCCUAAUACAUGCAAGUCGAGCGAACAGACGAGGAGCUUGCUCCUCUGACGUUAGCGGCGGACGGGUGAGUAACACGUGGAUAACCUACCUAUAAGACUGGGAUAACUUCGGGAAACCGGAGCUAAUACCGGAUAAUAUAUUGAACCGCAUGGUUCAAUAGUGAAAGACGGUUUUGCUGUCACUUAUAGAUGGAUCCGCGCCGCAUUAGCUAGUUGGUAAGGUAACGGCCUACCAAGGCAACGAUGCGUAGCCGACCUGAGAGAGUGAUCGGCCACACGGGAGCGUAGACACGGUCCAGACUCCUACGAGAGGCAGCAGUAGGGAAUCUGCCGCAAUGGGCGAAAGCCUUACGGAGCAACGCCGCGUGAGUGAUGAAGGUCUUCGGAUCGUAAAACUCUGUUAUUAGGGAAGAACAAAUGUGUAAGUAACUAUGCACGUCGUGACGGUACCUAAUCAGAAAGCCACGGCUAACUACGUG